UACGUGAGGAUGCGAGCGUUUGUCCGGAAUUAUUGGGCGUAAAGAGAACGUAGGUGGCUAAUUAAGUUCGGUCUUAAAGACCGGGGCUCAACCCCGGGAAUGGACUGAAGACUGGUUGGCUAGAGGAUGUUAGAGGACGGUGGAAUUCCCAGUGUAGCGGUGAAAUGCGUAGAUAUUGGGAGGAACACCAGUGGCGAAAGCGGCCGUCUGGAACAUUCCUGACACUGAGGUUCGAAAGCGUCGGGGAAGCAAACGGAGGAUUAGAAAACCCGUUGUUA
rnacentral:rRNA from 1 species